UCCUAAGGUAGCGAAAUUCCUUGUCGGGUAAGUUCCGACCUGCACGAAUGGCGUAAUGAUGGCCAGGCUGUCUCCACCCGAGACUCAGUGAAAUUGAACUCGCUGUGAAGAUGCAGUGUACCCGCGGCAAGACGGAAAGACCCCGUGAACCUUUACUAUAGCUUGACACUGAACAUUGAGCCUUGAUGUGUAGGAUAGGUGGGAGGCUUUGAAGUGUGGACGCCAGUCUGCAUGGAGCCGGCCUUGAAAUACCACCCUUUAAUGUUUGAUGUUCUAACGUGGACCCGUGAUCCGGGUUGCGGACAGUGUCUGGUGGGUAGUUUGACUGGGGCGGUCUCCUCCUAAAGAGUAACGGAGGAGCACGAAGGUUGGCUAAUCCUGGUCGGACAUCAGGAGGUUAGUGCAAUGGCAUAAGCCAGCUUGACUGCGAGCGUGACGGCGCGAGCAGGUGCGAAAGCAGGUCAUAGUGAUCCGGUGGUUCUGAAUGGAAGGGCCAUCGCUCAACGGAUAAAAGGUACUCCGGGGAUAACAGGCUGAUACCGCCCAAGAGUUCAUAUCGACGGCGGUGUUUGGCACCUCGAUGUCGGCUCAUCACAUCCUGGGGCUGAAGUAGGUCCCAAGGGUAUGGCUGUUCGCCAUUUAAAGUGGUACGCGAGCUGGGGUUUAGAACGUCGUGAGACAGUUCGGUCCCUAUCUGCCGUGGGCGCUGGAGAACUGAGGGGGGCUGCUCCUAGUACGAGAGGACCGGAGUGGACGCAUCACUGGUGUUCGGGUUGUCAUGCCAAUGGCACUGCCCGGUAGCUAAAUGCGGAAGAGAUAAGUGCUGAAAGCAUCUAAGCACGAAACUUGCCCCGAGAUGAGUUCUCCCUGAGACUUUAGGUCUCCUGAAGGAACGUUGAAGACGACGACGUUGAUAGGCCGGGUGUGUAAGCGCAGCGAUGCGUUGAGCUAACCGGUACUAAUGAACCGUGAGGCUUAACCUUACAACGCCGAAG
rnacentral:rRNA from 1 species